rnacentral:tmRNA from 2 species
GGGGAUGCAAAUGCAUCGACAAGAUAGUUCUUUAAAAACUGCAAGCCGACGAGACUCACAGUCGUAAAACUAAGUCAAAAAUAUAAAUGAUAGAGGAAACUCUUCAUUCGCUCCAACUCGUUUUGCUUUUGCUUAACUAGUUGAGCUGUCCUUAAUGUUUUUUCUCGAUGAAACAUUUUGGGCAUAAACUUAGUCGAGAAAUUGAAAGAGUAGAUGGUUAGAACUCUUUUGAAUUUAUAACCUUGACCUUAUUUAUGGAUGUUUGUUUUCAAAGAAUAAGGCGAUCAAAAAAAUAACAAAAUAAGCUUGUAGAAGUUUGAAAAAAUACCUUCUUGGACUCGGGAUCACUUCCCGACAUCUCCACAA